rnacentral:rRNA from 1 species
AUUGAACGCUGGCGGCAGGCCUAACACAUGCAAGUCGAGCGGAGCGGCGGACGGGUGAGUAAUACCUAGGAAUCUGCCUGUUCGUGGUGGAUAACGUCAGGAAACGGGCGCUAAUACCGCAUACUAUCAGAUGAGCCUAGGUCGGAUUAGCUAGUUGGUGGGGUAAAGGCCUACCACGGCGACGAUCAGUAACUGGUCGGAGAGGAUGAUCAGUCACACUGGAACGGAGACACGGUCCAGACUCCUACGGGAGGCAGCAGUGGGGAAUAUUGGACAAUGGGCGAAAGCCUGAUGCAGCCAUGCCGCGUGUGUGAAGAAGGUCUUCGGAUUGUAAAGCACUUUAAGUUGGGAGGCGUUACCAACAGAAUAAGCACCGGCUAACUACGUGCCAGCAGCCGCGGUAAUUC